rnacentral:rRNA from 1 species
CAGCCGCCGCGGUAAUACCGGCGGCCCGAGUGGCGGUCACUAUUAUUGGGCUUAAAGCGUCCGUAGCCGGGGUGGGAAGUCCUCCGGGAAAUCUGGCCGCUUAACGGUCAGAAUGCCGGAGGAUACUCCCAGCCUAGGGAGCGGGGGAGGCCGAGGGGAUUCCCGGAGGAGGGGUGAAAUCCUAUAAUCCCGGGAGGACCACCUGUGGCGAAGGCGCUCGGCUGGAACGCGUCCGACGGUGAGGGACGAAGGCCAGGGGAGCAAACCGGAGUAGAUACCCGGGUAGUCCUGGCUGUAAACGAUGCGGACUUUGUGUCGGACAAGCUAUGAGCUUGUCCGGUGCCGGAGGGAAACCGUUAAGUCCGCCGCCUGGGGAGUACGGCCGCAAGGCUGAAACUUAAAGGAAUUGGCGGG